GUGAGUAGAGCGGCGCACGGGUGAGUAACGCGUGGAUAAUCUGCCCUGAAGAUCGGGAUAACAGUUGGAAACGACUGCUAAUACCGUAUAAUCUACAUAUUUAACUUUAUGUGGGAAAGGUGGCCUCUAUUUAUAAGCUACCGCUUUUGGAUGAGUCCGCGUCUCAUUAGCUUGUUGGUAGGGUAAUGGCCUACCAAGGCAACGAUGAGUAGCUGGUCUGAGAGGAUGAUCAGCCACACUGGGACUGAAACACGGCCCAGACUCCUACGGGAGGCAGCAGUGGGGAAUAUUGCGCAAUGGGGGAAACCCUGACGCAGCGACGCCGCGUGUAGGAAGAAGGCCUUCGGGUCGUAAACUACUGUCAAGAGGGAAGAAACUGUUAGGCAUUAAUACGGCCUUUCACUGACGGUACCUCUAGAGGAAGCACCGGCUAACUCCGUGCCAGCAGCCGCGGUAAUACGGAGGGUGCGAGCGUUAAUCGGAAUCACUGGGCGUAAAGCGUGCGUAGGCGGCGCAACAAGUCAGGCGUGAAAGCCCUCGGCUCAACCGAGGAAUUGCGCUUGAAACUGUUGUGCUAGAGUCUCGGAGAGGUUGGCGGAAUUCCAGGUGUAGGAGUGAAAUCCGUAGAUAUCUGGAGGAACACCGGUGGCGAAGGCGGCCAACUGGACGAGUACUGACGCUGAGGUACGAAAGCGUGGGGAGCAAACAGGAUUAGAUACCCUGGUAGUCCACGCUGUAAACGAUGGAUAUUAGGUGUCGGGUUUUCAAUUCGGUGCCGCAGUUAACGCGUUAAAUAUCCCGCCUGGGGGAGUACGGUCGCAAGGCUGAAACUCAAGGAAUUGACGGGGGCCCGCACAAGCGGUGGAGUAUGUGGUUUAAUUCGAUGCAACGCGAAGAACCUUACCUAGGCUUGACAUCCUGAGAAUCUGCC
rnacentral:rRNA from 1 species